ACUUUUUUUUUUUUUUUUUCCUGUAGGUCUCUCUCUCGGCCUCACCUUUGAUGCUGAAACGCCAAAUAAAGUCCCAUCACAUCCUUCCAAAUUAAAAUCAGGUUUUUGCUUUGGGACAGCAAUUUCAACUUGUCUUUCAGAGCCAAAAAAAAACUACUUGAUUGCAUUUUGAAGAAGCUGCUUUGUCUGGAUUGCAAUUUUUUGGAUUUUUUUUUUUUGUAAAAAAAUUACUGUAGCGAUUUGAUAUACGUGAGGUAAAAAGGUGAUUGAAAAAUAUAUUCACGGAAAACUCAGCAAAGUUGCGGCUUCACAAAUUUUCUAUUGCCGGAAUUCUCAAUUACUUUGGAGAGACCUCGUUUUUCAAAGAAUGAAGGAUGAAUUCGUUGUGGGAGGUAAAUGAAACAACUUCAAGUAAGUAACACGGUACUGUAAUUAGCUCUCCUGAGAAUGAAAUGACCCAAAAAAAAUUAAAAAAAUAAAGAAGAAGAUGAAGAUGAUGAAAUUGAAACACGCAUGUCUAUAUAUGAUUAAUUAAUUUUGUCAACGGUAAUAAAAUAAAUAUUAUUUAUUGUGAAUGAAGGUGUAGUAUUCGAGAGCACAAAAUUUUGUUUAGAGAAUAAUUCCAUUGACCGCACAAUUAUUUGCUACAAAAUUAAUGUUGGCGCGCGCGCACACACACAUAUAUAUAUUUUGAAAAUGAAUAAUAUGUGAAGAAGGAUGGAUGGGGAGCCAGGGGAGGGCAGGGCAGGAACAUGAUGGAUGGUAUAUUUUGAAAGCAAGAAAUAAAUGGAGGUCCUACUUUGCAUUAUUUAGUGAUGUGCUACUAUAAUAAGCUAAUACAAAGGACAAAGAAUGGCUUUUGUACCCAAGAGGAAUGGAAUGGCGGGGGAAUCCAUUCCACACCUAUUCAUUAGCUUACUCAAUACAAACUACUACAUCUGUGUACUAGUAAUAAAUACUACCGUUGAUUCCCUUGCGAUAGCUCAAAAUACACAAUAAUUAAUAACUAUCCUGCGUAUGCAUCCCCAUUGACAUAAGAAGAAUUUUUUUUUGUUUUGUUUUGUUUUGUUUUGUUGUUGGGUCAAAUAUUGACAUAAGAAAUGGUAAACACCUAUCCAUGCGUUCCACUUUCAUAUAUACCAUUUUUUUUUUCUAACAUAUGUAUAUAUAUAUAUAUUUAAAAUAAUAAUUAAAAAAAAAACACAACCAUUUUUCAAUCUGUCAGCUAAACUACUUUCGGGGAAAAAUAGCUGUAGCAAUAGUUUUCCCCACAGGUCAACUUAUGAUUAAAUCGUCAGCUAAAGAUGAUGCUGAAGUAGGUCUUGCCUGUCAUCAAAAUUUUUUUUUUUAAUCUUUCCUAAGAGUUCCCUUUUUUUUUUUUUUUCCAAUAAAGAUAGAUUCUUAAAUACUAGUAGUAGUAGUAUAAAAUGAGAGUUGGCUUCUGCAAAUAACGAGACGAGCUCUCAACCCAAAUAAACUGACAGCACCAACGGAACUACAAUACACUACACAACGAUCGAAUGGCCCUCCUAAACAGUAUACAACACAGAUGAGGGGUGCUGCAUGCAUCUCAUUCAUAAAAAUGAUACUCAAAAGAGUGGGGUCGGAUCCGGAGCCGGACCCCCACUGCCCCAUGAUGGAAUUGGACUACUACUAUACCCUAUUUGUCCCUGCUUGUCACCAUGUUUGGAACUCUAAACCUAACGAUAACAAAAGAAAAAGGAAAAAAAAUUUUUGAAAGUAAGUAAAAUCCUAUAAUCACUCGACUAAUGAGCAAAUAAUACCCUAAUAAUACCAGUUUGACUCAUCAUUCUUCUUCCUAUAGUAUAGAUAUAGAUAGAUUGAGCAGAUUAGCUAGGUACCCUAUUGCUUUUUCUCUUCAGUGACAUUUUGAGUUACCGAGCGAUGCACAUCGCAGACUGACCAACAUCAACUCGAAUACGCCUAUAGCCCAAGAUGUUCCAUUUUUGUUUUCGGUCGCUCAAAUUUGAAGAAAGAUUGUACCAUCCAGGGCUCUGACAGUCCGCUGCUACACAGACAAUCUCAUUCACCACCCUCAUAAGAAAGCUACGUUCCAUUUUUUACCUUCUAGCUACUCCCAGACUCUAUUCAAAAACUCCAGAGACCGAUGUGCUGGACCCCCGCCCCGCAUUGGAAAAGGAGGGGGGGGGGGGGUAUUACAGAAGGGAAAGGUGCUUGAACCCAAAACGGCAAAACCAUUUCAGCUAAUCACGAAUUACAUUAAAAAAGAAAAAUAAAUGCCUAGGCUUUCCCUAAUUUAUUUCCUGAAGGGAAAUAGGCUAGAGGUCCACUUUAAAUACGCACCCAGAAAAUCAACAUAGGACAAACUAGUUCGCUUUAUGAAACAUCUCCCCAGACGAGUAAUCACCAAAAUCUGAAUCUUCAUCCCGGUUACAAAUUUCAUCGACUCAAAAUCAAUGUCAGUAACAUGAUGCUUACUAGUUGUUUAAAAGGGGGAGAAGAAAUGCAUGAUUGAGCACAGCCUUAGAUUACAAAUAAGCUGCUUAAAUUGAGCCAGAUCCAAGGCCAGCUUGAAACACAAAUGGCUUAGAAAUCAAAAGCACUCUCUGUUACCAAUCAGUAAACACUCCUGUGCCAAUAAACAUUAUCAGUAUGAAGAAAGCUUAAUUGGCAUUUUCCUUUCUUGAAGAAAGGAAAUGGAAUCUCAGAGACGUAAAGACAAUCUCAACACCAAUCACGUUAUCUAAACAACAUCAAACCCUUCAAAGAAACCCAAGAAUCAUAAAAAGCACUGAGUACAAGUGUGUACAAGAAGUUUGCAAAAUGAGAAUUAGACAGAUGGCACAUUGCACAGACAAAAAAAAAAACAGUGAGGUGAAACAGCAAUAUUGAACAUAAAGCAUGAGAUGAGAAACAUGCACUGACAUUUCGUGGAUGAUACUUAUUUAUUCAACAUAAGCAAUAUACUAAUCUCUAAUGUUCAAUAACAUCUUGAGAGAUGCAAUUCUGCAGUGGACCUAGCUAGCCCAGGUAGCCACUCUAGUGCAUCAACCAAAUCAUGAAUUGGGUCCCCAUGUGAAUAUUCAUUGAUCCCUGUAUAAAGCAUGGUUUACAUAUGCACUUACAGUACCAGAAACUGAAGACAAACAAUUUCAAAUCCUCAGCCAGAAUCUCAAAAUCUACCUUACUGGACAAAAGUUUUGCCGUUCUGUAACAACAUCAUGGUCAGUCAUUUUCCGAAUAACCACUGUCUUAUUGAUAAACGUUUAUACCAUCGACAACAUACACACAGAGCAGAGCAUCUUGUCUCAAGAGAGCAGGAAACUGACAAAAAAAAAGAUGCUAAUUCUUGGGGCAUAAUUCAACUUCAGGACCACAAAACAUGUAAAAAUAGAAGCACUCCUCAACACAGGAUCGGUUAUGGUUCCAUAUUGCCAGAAAUGCAGGCAUCAGUCAAUGCGAGCUCUAGAACUUGCCAACUGAGAUAUCUAAAUGUCAUUUGAGGGCUACCAAGAGAGUGUGUAAACUUUUUUUUAGCCAAUUAAACCACUUUCAUGAAUGAUGCACGAAGAAUGGGGUGACAAUACAAGCAUUAAGGAUGUGGGUACAAUGACUAUGCACCCUUAAUACGGUUAAGUUGCCAACACUCCACCUUCUUACUAACUAGAGAGAGAGAGCGUAAAAUCAUCAACAUGAGUAAUACCUAAUAAUUAUUCAAACGAAUAACCCACCAAUAAAAUAGGCAAUAGGAAUUCAGCCCACGAGCCAAACGAGCAUGAUGACAAUUUUCAGGAAAUGAUAAUUCUAAAACAGGGAGUAGUAUUUAUCAGAAUACAAGAGUUUCAGGGAAAUUAAAAAACCAAAACUGAGUACUGCAAAGCAAACAAAAUCAUUCACGAGCAGAGCCGAGCAGAGCAGGGAAAUGCUUUAAAUAACUUCUAGAUAGAUAACAAUUCUGCUCAAGUCCUAUCAAAAUAAGCAACGAUGUAUAAAGAAAG
rnacentral:lncRNA from 1 species